CUCGGUGAGAUCCAUAAAAUAACAUAUGAAAGCAAUAACAUUAUCAUCAUCUCAUCAAAAGAUAUGAACUGUAUGACAUAAUACUUACCACGCCUUUGUAUUUCAAUCAUUGAACAACACAUUUUCGUCAUUUACCAGCCUACUAGUAUUCAUGGGGAUCCAUAGGGGUCCCGCUACCUGUGAACCCUUAACAUUUAUAUCCAGAUUCCAGAGCCGUCCCCAUACCCCGUCCGGUAUGGGCACCAAAACUAUAAACCUCAAUACCCCAUCCGGUAUAGGCGCCAAAACACAUAAGGUCUCCAUACCCCGUCCGGUAUG
rnacentral:lncRNA from 1 species